AGCAACAAUCCGAACAUACUUACAUUAUGAAACUGACUCAAAUGAAAGAGCUGUCCUCAAGAUCACCAGUAUCAUCACAACACAUGUUGAGAACCCAUCUUGCAUCAUAAAAAUAGGACACACAAAUCUAACCCGCAAGGUCACAUCUUCGCAGAGCUUCGCUGCAAAUGCGUGACCCUAUCAAAAAACUGUUCCACAUGAAACACUCAAGUCACUAUGCUCAAAAUUGACAAUCGUGCACAGUUUGAUUCAUGGAACCAAAGCAAAUCACUACACCCACGGUGAAACACAUAAAAUAUACCGCACAUACUCGAUAGGACAUAAUCGAUAUGCCAUCCAUCGAGCAACAACCAAUUACUUUCCCCGCUCGACUUCCACUAUGAACGCCAAUCGAAUCGCACCAUACGUGCCCAUAACCAACCAAUCACUACGUCUCGCAACACAGAGAGGCCACUCAUAGAUAUCCUAGAUCACCAGUAAGCUCAAUAACGAUCAAAUCAACCUAUCCCUCAACAAUACAAUUUGGGGCCAACAAAGCCGACUCAAGCUAGAACACGCCUCCACAUUGGCCUAAUG
rnacentral:lncRNA from 1 species